AGUGAACGCUGGCGGUAGGCCUAACACAUGCAAGUCGAACGGCAGCACAGUAAGAGCUUGCUCUUACGGGUGGCGAGUGGCGGACGGGUGAGGAAUACAUCGGAAUCUACUUUUUCGUGGGGGAUAACGUAGGGAAACUUACGCUAAUACCGCAUACGACCUACGGGUGAAAGCAGGGGAUCUUCGGACCUUGCGCGAUUGAAUGAGCCGAUGUCGGAUUAGCUAGUUGGCGGGGUAAAGGCCCGCCAAGGCGACGAUCCGUAGCUGGUCUGAGAGGAUGAUCAGCCACACUGGAGCUGAGACACGGUCCAGACUCCUACGGGAGGCAGCAGUGGGGAAUAUUGGACAAUGGGCGCAAGCCUGAUCCAGCCAUACCGCGUGGGUGAAGAAGGCCUUCGGGUUGUAAAGCCCUUUUGUUGGGAAAGAAAAGCAGCAGGUUAAUACCCCGCUGUUCUGACGGUACCCAAAGAAUAAGCACCGGCUAACUUCGUG
rnacentral:rRNA from 1 species